CUUGUUCCUGCAGAAAACAGCUUCAUCUUUAACAACGUGACUAGCUGAUCUGACAUCUGGCUGUCUUGCACCAAUGGAAAUGCAAUGACUUCCUGGUCCAAGAGCAGCCUGCUCUGGGAGCUGAAGUCCUCCUGUGUAUUCCUUGAACUGGAUCCAAAUUCAUUACAGAUAGACUGUGAAGCGGACAUAGAUGAUGAAGCUGGUGAAGAGGAGGGGGCAGGAGGGAAGGCAAGCAAGGGACGGAGACAAGCCUUCCCUGGAAUAUUUGCCGAGUGAACGUCCUCUGUGCAGACUCACAUGAUGCUUUGUCAUCUUUGGGAGAAGAGCCAAUAUUAUAAAAAGUUGCUGGGGAAAAAAUGGAUCACGGCAGAAUAACCAGGGCAUUUAACCAGCCUGAGUUUGGAGGUGAUGGUUGCUGGCCUCUGUGGGUUUCCCGGGUCAAAGAAACAGAAUUUAGAACCUGGAAGUGUUGAUCAAGACGAACACCGCAACUUUGAUCAGUUAAGUAUGAAUAAAUCAGAAAUGUAUGCUUUAAAUUCCCUUCGAAACACAUACAUAGUUAGAGGUUAAGGGGAGAAAGCGUUUGGCAGAAUACAUCUCAGAAGUUGCCAGCCAUAUAAUGCUUGAAAAAUCGCCAGUUCCACUUUGCCAAACCUAAAAGCAGCCAGGUUUGCUCAUCUCCACCUUAAAGGAACAUUAAGGUCUUUAUCUAUUGACCUGAACCUAAUAAAGAAGGGGAAUUUUAGAGCUGAGACUAAUGUUUUUUUUUGUUUUAAAUCACCUCCUACUGCCUAAUUAUUGUUGAGAUCUCUGUGCGAUGUUGCAUAUCUAAUCCAUGAUACUCAAUAAUACCCAAGUGUGGAGCUGGCAAAUAAGUCAAGGAUGUUAUAAAGAGGGCAGGGACCAAUUAGCCUCAUUAGGUCAAGCAAGCCUCAGAACAAGUGAUAGCCUCUGACUGCACUAAGGAAAAAUUAGAUGAAAUGUUAGAAAAGAUGGCAUUACAUAACAGGCAAAGCCAC